ACAAAAACGCUCCCCGAAUCAAAACAAAACUUGUGGGCGUUUCUGUUCUUGUUCACGGAACGGGAGCGUAAGUCUAAAACCCUACAAAAGAAAAAGGAGAAGAAGAACGGGAACGUGACACCGUGACUACAACAAGAAAGACGACACCCUGAACUGAAACCCUGAAACCUUAAAAAAAGAAUAAAGAAGAAUGGGCAUCAAAAUGUCUACCACAGAACUGCGUCUGAAUAGGCACUGCAGGAAAUAUAGGUAGAAACAGGAGGAUGGUUUUAGUUAUAUACAGCCAUUUCUGGCAAGGUAGACAAUAAAUAUAGUAGGUAGUACAGUACAACAAUAUGUACAGUUUUCAUCUUUGAUUAUGCCAAAUUAGUAGCGUUAUUUAAAGCCACUUGAAACUUGCUGUAGCCGGAGAUAGAUAGCUUAUACUCCAACCUGGUAGCAGUGCAGUAUCAAGCAAUCACUGUUACCUCCAUGCUUCGUGUUCUCGCAAAGACUGGAUAAAGCUAGGAUAAUAUUACUGAGAAAGACGCAUAGAGGUAGAGGGAAAUGGACACAUCUUAUAGACCAUAAGAAAUAGUUAUAAACAACGUAGGUACAGCUGUUGCGGCCUAAUAUUUACUGUGAAAUGAUGAAAAUAUCCACUGCGUAUCACCGCUCAGAGACACUCACGCAGCCUGAGUUCUUAAUGUUGCAUUUUCUAUAAAUAUGUCAUCUAUAAUUCCUCAUUGCUGCAGCUUGUCUGUACCAUCCACACUGAAGAUACGUGUUACAAAUAUACUAUAUAACGAAAUUGUGGCAGUUGGCACAAAGGGUUAAUAAAGGAGGGGAACAAAGGGGCCCCCCCCCCCCCCCAUCUAGGGAAUAAAGGGAAGCAAAUUGUGGGAGUCAGGGGCUCAGCUAAGCUUAAGCAACUUCCGAAUGUGGUCUAAAAUGGUUCCCAAAUGCAAGAGAAAACCUGCAGCUCAAAACAUCACGUGAGAAUACAAAAAACAAAAGUGUUCCUGUUAUCUAGACCACAGCCUGGAAAGUUGUGAGUUUUUUAAUCAACAGAAAUCCUGACUCUUGAUGAUGUCCGUGGUCCAGACCCUCAGCGGUUAUCCACACUAAUAUCCACCUGUACAACAACAGCUGCACCAGUUUGAAAUGAGAAUUGGAACCAAAUGCUGUCAUAUUUGUCAAUGACUGUUUGAUUGUCCUUACUUGACUGGAUGUCGGGUUAUCAUCCGUGUUCCAGUUGAAACUGUAAAAAGAUCAGGAUUACCAAACCAUGGUGGCAGCCUUUUUUAAUCUUUUCUAUUUUUUGAUGGGGAGCAGCUAAUAUGAGGUCUGAAUUAUUAAUUCCAAUACACUGCACUUCAUGUCUAUUAUAUAACAGAUGCUAAUGACAGAUGGCCCAAAGGCGUAGUCAGGAUUUUAGGAGGUGUGGGAAAUGGGUUAGGUUCCCAGAGCUUUCAUAGAUGUAUCAUCAGUGACAUUUCUGUUAUGCUGCAGAUUUAACUGAAUUGUUUCUUGUAAAUGCCCCUUGUUCAUAACCAAAUCAAUAAAUUUACAAAUAUAUACAAAACAUGAACUCGUAAGAAAUAAGAUAGUCGGGUGAGUUUUAAGUGGGCGAGAAAUAAUAUGAAUAUACAGGAGUUGGAAGAGAUAAUCGGUGCAUAGUGCUGAGAUCUGUGGCACCGAAGGUAGUGGUGCCAAAGUAAGUGCCCGGCCAGGUACCAGUGGAAAAAUCUUAAAAAUGAUACCCAUGUUUCUCAUUCAUGUGUAUCUAUGGUCUCUUUCUAUGGACUACACCUGUGAAGACUGAAAUAAAGUCUGUAAACACUGA